CACCUCCACAGGCUGGCCGGCCCUCAGGCUGGGCUGGGCAAGUAUCCCUUCAAAAGGCUCACCCUCAAGUAUGACUAGGAGA
rnacentral:pre_miRNA from 1 species